rnacentral:rRNA from 1 species
AUUGAACGCUGGCGGCAGGCCUAACACAUGCAAGUCGAGCGGAUGAAGGGAGCUUGCUCCUGGAUUCAGCGGCGGACGGGUGGGUAAUGCCUAGGAAUCUGCCUGGUAGUGGGGGAUAACGUCCGGAAACGGGCGCUAAUACCGCAUACGUCCUGAGGGAGAAAGUGGGGGAUCUUCGGACCUCACGCUAUCAGAUGAGCCUAGGUCGGAUUAGCUAGUUGGUGGGGUAAAGGCCUACCAAGGCGACGAUCCGUAACUGGUCUGAGAGGAUGAUCAGUCACACUGGAACUGAGACACGGUCCAGACUCCUACGGGAGGCAGCAGUGGGGAAUAUUGGACAAUGGGCGAAAGCCUGAUCCAGCCAUGCCGCGUGUGUGAAGAAGGUCUUCGGAUUGUAAAGCACUUUAAGUUGGGAGGAAGGGCAGUAAGUUAAUACCUUGCUGUUUCGACGUUACCAACAGAAUAAGCACCGGCUAACUUCGUG